AUGGCAAGAUGGAGCACGCAUCUGAGGGAGGGAAGGGUUGUACCUGGUAUUUUCCACAGCCCCCGGAGUGCAGCUGUACCCAUUUACCGCCUUUGGUUCACUAGCACCUGGGGAGAGGACAGAAGCACAAUGACCGUGUGCCUCAGGAACAGGACAGCAAGGACUUCCACCCGCAGGUCAGCCUGGAUACUGCAGCCGAGGGGUGUCCUGAGCUUUGUGGCAGAACCAGCCAGAGCAGCAGGUGCGGUGCAAUUGAUCUUCAUUUGGGUUGGAAGGGUUUCCUUGCUGGAUUUUGGAGAAGGAAUCCGUCAGUGGCACGGCCAUCAAACAGAAGGCAGCAGCAAUAUCCUUGUCAAAGAGAUAUAUGACUAUGCAGACGCUCAAAAAGGUGCCAAGAAAUGCAGUUCAGUAGCAGAGGUGGCAAAGCUGUCAAAGCCGAUGGGGUUUUGAGCAGGAGAGGGAAGGAACAGUUAACCAACAUACCUGCAUCAAGAACACCAUAGCCUACCUUAAAAUGUGCACGGUGGAAUUUUAAUUAAAGGAUUUGUACAGCUGUGGAAUCCUGAAAUCCUCUAAGUAAUGUGCAGUGGCCUGAGACCUCCCUGGGCACGGCUCUUCAGUAUUUGCAGCCUUGAAAACCUACCAAGGAGUUAUUCCAACAUGGUGUGUUUGAUCCCCAUUAUUCAGAAAUCCUGGCUUUAAGAUACAUGGCCUGGAUCAAGUAUUCUGAAACUUCACUGCAGCUGUUACGGCAUUGCAUUCUUGAGCAAGAGAUGUGGCUGAGAAGACACCUUGAUGGCAGGUCUUGAUCUUGUAAAAUGCCUUUAGCGCCAGACAGAGGUUAUCAGGUUUCAGAAUACUUAAACUUACCUUCAAGGUUUUCUUGUGAUCUAGAUGGCUUGCGUCUGAGCAUAGUGCAGAAACUGCCUUCGUGUGUUAACCACUGCUUCCAUAUGUGAAAUAGGCUAGUUUACUCAGGACAGGCAGCCCUACUCCUUGAGACACCAGUUUUCUCUUGCUACUCAAUAAUUCAAAUAAAAUAAAUUCAUAGCUGAACUGGAAAUACA
rnacentral:lncRNA from 1 species